rnacentral:pre_miRNA from 1 species
AAUGGAAUUGCUGGGUCAUAUGGUAAAUUUAUGUAUAACUUUUUAAGAAACCACCAUACUGUUUUCCAAAGUGACUGUGCUAUUUUACAUUCCCACAAGCAAU